rnacentral:ncRNA from 1 species
AGGAGGUUUAAAGGCGAUUUAUGGGUUGAAUGUGGCUUUGCUUAUUUAUGCGAAAUUUAGUGUUAGAUAAUUUUUGUAGCAGUUAUUAGUAUUGUAAAUUCAGUUAUUUGAGAUGCAGGAAUAGUCCUUAGUACUGACUUAGUUUGUGCCAGCAGUCGCGGUUAUACAAAUAGUGCUAUUUAAUCUAGUUGGUUUUGAGUUAAUUUAUGAUUAUAUAAUUUGGCUAUAACGAUAGGAUUUAAAGGUGAAAUUUUAAUUUUAUAGUAGAGUCAAGGUUAAUUUAAUGAAGCUUGGAAAUUUUUUCUUUAGACUAGGAUUAGAUACCCUAUUAUUAAAAACGUUAAUUUUAAAAGCUUGAUUAGUAUAAGUUAAGGUCUUGAAAAUCAAACAUUUUGGCGGUAUAUUAAUCUUUUCAGAGGAACCUGCCCUGUAAUCGAUAGUCCACGAGAUGAUUAACUUUUUUAUGUGCUUGUAUAUCGUCGUUGUUCGAAUAUUUUUUGAAAAUUUUAAUAUUCUAGAAUUUUUACGAGAAAGAAAAUCAGAUCAAGGUGCAGCAUUAGAAAGGAGCGGUGGGUUACAUUAUAAGGAUAUAAGGAUGUGAUAAUUAUAAAUUUUGCGUAAUUUGGAUUUGAUAGUAAUUUUACUUAGUUAAUUAAUGUGAAUUGAGCUCUAAAAUAUGCACAUAUCGCCCGUCGCUUUCAUUGUUUUAUGAAAUAAGUCGUAACAAAGCAGGUUUACUGGAAAGUGGUCCUGGAAUGGC